ACCAAAUGAUAGAUACUAUUCUCCAUUUCUUAGAAAUGAUGAAAUAAAACCACAAAAUGUACAAAGUCAGAUCUAAAACCCAUACCUUUGGGUCCAGACUUUUCUUCUAAAGUUCUGCAGUUACACCCAGAUGCCGCAGAAACAUAGGAUCUUAGAGGGGAAGUAACUUAGUCUACUCAAUGUGAAGACAACAAGGAUGAAGACCUUUAUGAUGAUUUACUUCCGCUUAAUGAAUAUCUUCAGUUUCUACCUGACAUAAUUUAUCCUCUGGAAGAAAACAAAUCCUGUGAUGACCAGAAUGACCACAAAAAGAGAGAGUUUCACAUAAAGAAUGAUCAGUAAGUCCAACGCUGGAGAUCCUGAGCUUCUGAGACCUGUAAAUACAGACAGGGGUAAAAAAAUCAUUUCAAGGAUUCUUCUAAUUACAAAUUAGAGUCAAACAUUUUAAAGAACAUUUUAAAAUAUUCUUAAGAGUUCACAGACUGUCAUAAUCAUGAAACCUUCUAACUUACAACUCAAAUGUUACUAAUAUAUCAUUCUUCCAUGACAGAGUUUAGGAACCAUGUUUGUGUUUUGUACCUCGUAGGUUUCUGACAAAUAUUUUCUGAACAAAUAAAUGCACACUAUGCAUUGCUAAUACUUUCCAAUUUUAUAAGAAAAGCAAUAUGUCAAGCUUUCCCCAGUAUAUUCCAACUUCCCAUGCAAAUACUAGCCUUUGAAAGAACAUUACUCUUGAUAUUUGGGGUUUGAUCUGAUAACACUGUCCACACAUUGAAGUGAUUUUCUUACUAAGUUGAUGUAACCUCUUUAGCAAGGUGUUUUAUGUCUUCCUACUUUCAUUUUAUUUAUCUGUGAAAUGCCCCUAGGAAUUAUUGAAAAGAUAAAUCAAACUAAUUGGGGAUCUUGGUUCACUGCAAACUCUGCCUCCUGGGUUCAAGUGAUUCUCCUACCUCAGCCUCCAGAGUAGCUGGG